rnacentral:rRNA from 1 species
UAUCAAUAAGCGGAGGAAAAGAAACCAACAGGGAUUCCCCUAGUAACGGCGAGCGAAGCGGGAAGAGCUCGAGCCUUAAAUCUCCGGCUUGCAGCCGGCGAAUUGUAGCCGAGAGAGACAUCCACGCUGCUUAGGCGGUCGGCCAAAGUUGACCUGGAAAGGCGCGUCAGAGAGGGUGAGAACCCCGUACGCGGUCGACAUGCCUUUGAAGAUCGGGUGUCUUUGGAGAGUCAGGUUGUUUGGGAAUGCAGCCCAAAGUGGGUGGUAAACUCCAUCUAAAGCUAAAUAUUAAGCACGAGACCGAUAGCAAACAAGUACCGUGAGGGAAAGGUGAAAAGCACUUUGAAAAGAGAGUCAAAGAGAACGCGAAACCGUUAGGAGGGAAGCAAAUGUAGCCAGGCGUCGCUCCGUGUCAGGUUCAGGGCGCCCGCGGGGGAGGGCCGCGCUCGGUCUUCGGACGAAGCGCGGUCUGUUCAUCCGGGGGUCCCGCACUCCUGCGCGGUGCUGGCCAACGUGGGUUGCCGGUUUGCCGCACGACGGCCGGGAGGUGCCUUUGCCUGCCUUCGGGCAACGUGAAGGACGUACAGCCGUGCCGUUCGGAGCAUCCCGGCGACCGAGGAGAGGGUCGCUUGACCCACCAGCGCAGGCCCUUAGGGCCGGAUUCGCGUCCGUCGGCCCAGGACGCUCGUCGGAACUGCUUCGGCAGUGCCGGCGCAGCGAGCCCGAGUCGGCUCUCGCGCGUCGCGACUGCGCUGCAACUGUUGCUGAAGUGCUUCAUCUGAC